rnacentral:rRNA from 1 species
UUGCGCCUACGGGGGGCAGCAGUGGGGAAUAUUGGGCAAUGGGCGCAAGCCUGACCCAGCAACGCCGCGUGAAGGAAGAAGGCCCUCGGGUUGUAAACUUCUUUUAUCAGGGACGAAACAAAUGACGGUACCUGAUGAAUAAGCCACGGCUAACUACGUGCCAGCAGCCGCGGUAAUACGUAGGUGGCAAGCGUUAUCCGGAUUUACUGGGUGUAAAGGGCGUGUAGGCGGGAGAGCAUGUCAGACGUGAAAUUCCAGGGCUCAACCCUGGAACUGCGUUUGAAACUGUUCUUCUUGAGUGAUGG